CAAUAUCAGACAGUUUAAUCUUUGUGCAACGAUAUCUUUGAAUAACAAAUAAAUAUUCUUGUCAACAAAAUGGGAUGCACAUGUAAAAAAGUGUUCUUCAUAACCGGACUGAUUCUUAUGGAAUUGAUUGACCUAGGUCUAGACUGGGACUUUUUCAAUGAAGUAAAUAAAACGGACCAAGAACGAAUACGAAGGAAAAAAGAAUUGAAAUAUUCGAUCCUGGCAUUUGCAAUUGUUGGAACAGUUACAUUUAUACUUCAACUAGUGGCUAUAUACUAUGAUUCUAGGAAGAAUUACUCGCAUUUAACAUACUUAACAACUAUGUCAUUUAUAUCAACGUGGCUUGAAGAUAUCCCCCAAAUUAUCUUGGCCGUUCGCGUAGCAGUCAUUUCAUCGGAUAUUAUUUCCAAUGUACAAUAUGCGAAAGCAAUAUACGCAAUCGUGGAAGCAUCGAUCCAUUUGGGAGUUUCGAUUUGGCAACUAAGUUGUAAAAGUAAAAAGUUCAAAUACAAAAGAAAUGGUAAAUGUCUCAAGGCGUUACUCGUGUUGGAUCUUAUUGGCGGCAUAUUACUUAACGUUGCUUCCGUUUUCCUUAUAAUAGAACUAAGCUUGGACAAUUUUAAUUGAUACUAAUGUUUUCAAGUAGUAGUCCCCUUUCAACCUUAUGUAUAUAUUAUCUGACAUUUUGGUGGCUUGACGGUUAAUUAAAUUUUUGAUUUAUAUUUAUUGUUCACUUCUAUAAACUAUUUGAAUUUUUGGUAGUUAUUGUAAUAAUUUA